CAAAUGUUUGAUCUAAUUCUUCUUCACUUUGAUUUUAGCACUACUAAUUCAAAUAAAAUAUAAAUUCAUGUUUGUCAACUAGAUUAAUUAGCUUAUAAUUUAUUUUAAAACUUCAAAAACUAAUCAUUAAUAUGUCGAAAAUAAUUCACUUUGUUUAAUUGAAAUUGUUUGUACCCAUUAGAAUGAAGUAAACAAUUAAAGGGAAAAUUAGGCUCAAUACAGCCCAUAAGUUUUAAAAUUGAUUAUUACAAUGAAGACUAAUUCAUACGGCCCAAAAGUUCUUAACCUCGUAAUUUAUACAGUGAAAACCUCCAAAAUUCACAAAACUCCAUAAUGCUCGAGCUUCAUCACUGGCCACCCGCAUUGCCAUCUACAAUCGCUCCACCACCUACGUCGCUGACCACCUCUAAAACAACUCAUCAUCGGAUCAACGACUGCUCAUCUUUUUGGAUGUGGCUCUUUCUCAAUUUCUAACUUUUUUUAUGAUUUAUAAAAUUAUGUUAAUUUUAGAUUCCCAUUUUUACUGCAAAUCGUCUUUUCAAUCUUGGAUGUAGAUUAUCCAAUUGAGAAACUGACUUGCUAUAUGGCAGAUGAUGGAGUCUCGAUGCUUCCAUUUGAUGCAUUAGCUAAAAUAGCUGAGUUUGUAAGGAGGUGGGUGCAUUUUUGUCCAAAAUAGAGCAUUGAACCUUGAGCUCCAGAGUUCUACUUUUCUAAGAAAAUUUACUACUUAAAAGAUAAAGUUCAGCCUACUUUCGUAAAGAAACGUAGGGAUAUGAAGGUGAACAUCGGAGAAGGUGUAGUGGUGGAAUCGCCUAGACAGGAGCGUGAUAAAUAGGUAAAUGAACUACGAGACCAUAAUGGUGGAGGCGAUUACAACAAUCGCUACACUUUGACGAAGAAUUAGAAGAUUUAGAUGUGGUGAUAAUGAUGAUGAUGCGUAUCUAUGAUAGCUGUUGGGUACAGUUCUCUUAUUGGUGGGAAUGAUGGAGCCGUUGUCAAUAUUAAUGAGCAGUGAUGGUUAAGGUUGUGGUGGUUGUGUAUAUAAAGUAGACAUUUUGUAACGGCAUUGAGGAGUGUGUGGAUAGAUAUAGAAAAAGCGAUACGAAGACGGUAGCUGUGCAUUGACUUUAAAAUACUAAACGUUUUGAUUGGUAUUUUGUUUGUGAAAUGAUUUUAAAAUGUUUAGCAGUAAACGGAGAAAGAGGAAGGACGGUGGUUGUCACUUUUUUUUUUUUU